ncrna:unclassified sequences Glutamine-II riboswitch (downstream peptide RNA)
CAACGUUCACCUCACUUCUGUGAGGCGCAGAUCAACCAGGCCAAGGAACGGGGACCUGGA